ensembl:snRNA U6 U6 spliceosomal RNA
GUGCUCACUUUGGCAGCACAUAUACUAAAACCGGAACAAUACAGAGACAAUUAGCACGGCCCCUGCGCAAGGAUGACACACAAAUGGUGUAAGGGUUAAGUCACUGGG